CCUUCCUAAAAUGUGGCAACCAAAAGUGCAGGCAGUGAUCCAGGUGUGAGGGGACCAGGGUUUUCUGUGGUGGCAAAACAAGGCUUUGGGUUUCCUACCAUUUUCCCCUGGCCUUUAGUCUUCUGCCACCCCAUAUCGGUCUUCCCUGGUUUUAUCGAAGUUCACGGCACUAAAAUGACUGUGAGAUUAUUUGUCUUGUGGGUGAGAUUCCAGUUUACAUAAUGAGCAGCUUGGAUGACAGUUUCAAGGAUUUUGGAUGACACUCCUUAGCCCAACAAGUUGGAUGAGUUUCCUGAAAGUCUGGAAGAACAAUCUAAUGCCAGUUUCUCAAUUUCCUAUUAGGUCCUUGUCUCUUGAAAAUGGAAUAAAACUGGACCUUGUACUCUGCCAAGUGCUUAGUACAGGGUUCUGCACACAGUAAGCGCUCAGUAAAUAUGGUUGAUUGAUUGGUCUGUUUUGGAUUUUGUUUCACUCUGGAUGAUUAGGAAAAGGAGGACUCCAGGAACUACAACUUGACUAACCUAUCAGUUAUGAAGUAAGAAGAGCUUCUCUGCACAGUCAGAGGUGCUUAGUCAUUUCUGGAAUCCAAGUUUCCAGUUGGGAUCAAAUGCUUUUGUCAGGGUAAUGAGUACCAUGUAGCAGUCUGUUCUUUGAAUUUCUUUGUUAAAAUAUAUUCUAGAAAGAUUAUUCUACACAUUCACUUACAGCAUUGGAAUGGCCCAAGAACAUGCUGUGAUUUAAGUGACACAUAAUUGACAGUAUUGUGCAGUAGGUGGUUCAGGUGAACUCCAGUCAGGAUCUUGAUGGAGGGUGUCGAGAUACCACCACAGUUACCACAGCAGGCAUUUUCAACUUUUCUCUUCAAGACAGUUACAUAAGUGCACUGUGCUUCAGCAGGUAGAAUUUAAAGUAUCCAGACAAGAAAUUACCUGCUCCAUAAAAGAAGAUUUUGGAUAGCCUCUGCCACUCCUCCUGCCUGUGAAGAGAAAAAGAAAUGUCUGUUGAAGAAUGAAGCCCCACAGCCAGUACACUGUUUUGUAAUGAAAACCCUGAAGGGAUUAAAUAAGGCAUCUAAUCUAGAACUUCUGUUGCUGCAGUAUUCCUAAUGACUGUUUUGGAAAUAACCAAAUAUUAAAGACAGUAGGAAUGAUAUAUGUUGUUGAAAGUAAUUCCCAUGGAAACACACUGACGUUUUACAAUUGAAAUUAAGUUUACUGUGAAAAUAAUACUUUGUACUUAA